rnacentral:rRNA from 1 species
AUGACGUCAAUCAUCAUGCCCCUUAUGACCUGGGCUACACACGUGCUACAAUGGCUGGUACAACGAGUCGCAAGCCGGUGACGGCAAGCUAAUCUCUUAAAGCCAGUCUCAGUUCGGAUUGUAGGCUGCAACUCGCCUACAUGAAGUCGGAAUCGCUAGUAAUCGCGGAUCAGCACGCCGCGGUGAAUACGUUCCCGGGCCUUGUACACACCGCCCGUCACACCACGAGAGUUUGUAACACCCGAAGUCGGUGAGGUAACCGUAAGGAGCCAGCCGCCUAAGGUGGGAUAGAUGAUUGGGGUGAAGUCGUAACAGGGGUAACCGUUAA